AAGAAGGUGAGGAGCAAAUCCAAUUGCUAAUCAUAUUAACCCAUGGGUUAAUGCCAAAAAUUUUGAUGGAUAUUUCUUGAACCUUCAAGAGGAGUUUCUUAGACUGCGAUUUUCCACUACUUAACUGGAUACAAGCGAUAGAAAACUUCUUUUACAUGUUGGUUGAUUUUGAGAUAAUAGACCAUGCUAUAGGAACAAUAUUUGAUUCCCGACACAUACGGAAGCAGAGGGGACUUUGUCAUAUCACAUAUGUGUGCCACAUUGCUUCAAUAAUUUCCAUAGGAAGAAGAAACACCUCUGUGCUCGUAAAAUGUACCGGUAAAACGGGAUUCCCAGAUGAUGCAUUUGUGUUUUCUAAAUUCUCCUGCUAGCCAAAUUUCUCUAAAUAAGCCAGAACCGAUGCAAGGGACGAUCAACAACCAAAAGAUAUACCUUUAUUCUGAUGGCUGAAGUUCAAUCUCAAUUUCUUGGAGUGAUU
rnacentral:misc_RNA from 1 species